GUAUUUCAGUGUGGGUGAAAAUCUGGAAACAACUAAAGGAACACUUGUACAUGUGUUCCCUUGUUUGUUUCCAUAGGAAUAUUUAUGGAAUGAAAC